rnacentral:rRNA from 1 species
GACGAACGCUGGCGGCGUGCUUAACACAUGCAAGUCGAACGGAAAGGCCCUGCUUUUGUGGGGUGCUCGAGUGGCGAACGGGUGAGUAACACGUGAGUAACCUGCCCUUGACUUUGGGAUAACUUCAGGAAACUGGGGCUAAUACCGGAUAGGAGCUCCUGCUGCAUGGUGGGGGUUGGAAAGUUUCGGCGGUUGGGGAUGGACUCGCGGCUUAUCAGCUUGUUGGUGGGGUAGUGGCUUACCAAGGCUUUGACGGGUAGCCGGCCUGAGAGGGUGCCCGGCCACAUUGGGACUGAGAUACGGCCCAGACUCCUACGGGAGGCAGCAGUGGGGAAUAUUGCACAAUGGGCGGAAGCCUGAUGCAGCAACGCCGCGUGCGGGAUGACGGCCUUCGGGUUGUAAACCGCUUUCGCCUGUGACGAAGCGUGAGUGACGGUAAUGGGUAAAGAAGCACCGGCUAACUACGUG